rnacentral:rRNA from 1 species
ACGUACGCUGGCGGCAUGCCUUACACAUGCAGUCGAACGGCAGCACGGGUGCUUGCACCUGGUGGCGAGUGGCGAACGGGUGAGUAAUACAUCGGAACAUGUCCUGUAGUGGGGGAUAGCCCGGCGAAAGCCGGAUUAAUACCGCAUACGAUCUACGGAUGAAAGCGGGGGACCUUCGGGCCUCGCGCUAUAGGGUUGGCCGAUGGCUGAUUAGCUAGUUGGUGGGGUAAAGGCCUACCAAGGCGACGAUCAGUAGCUGGUCUGAGAGGACGACCAGCCACACUGGGACUGAGACACGGCCCAGACUCCUACGGGAGGCAGCAGUGGGGAAUUUUGGACAAUGGGCGAAAGCCUGAUCCAGCAAUGCCGCGUGUGUGAAGAAGGCCUUCGGGUUGUAAAGCACUUUUGUCCGGAAAGAAAUCCUUGGCUCUAAUACAGUCGGGGGAUGACGGUACCGGAAGAAUAAGCACCGGCUAACUACGUGCCAGCAGCCGCGGUAAUACGUAGGGUGCGAGCGUUAAUCGGAAUUACUGGGCGUAAAGCGUGCGCAGGCGGUUUGCUAAGACCGAUGUGAAAUCCCCGGGCUCAACCUGGGAACUGCAUUGGUGACUGGCAGGCUAGAGUAUGGCAGACGGGGGUAGAAUUCCACGUGUAGCAGUGAAAUGCGUAGAGAUGUGAGGAUACCGAUGGCGAAGCAGCCCCUGGGUAAUACUGACGCUCAUGCACGAAAGCGUGGGGAGCAACAGAUUAGAUACCCU